AUAUCUUGGCUCCUGCAACGAUGAAGAACGCAGCGAAAUGCGAUACCUAGUGUGAAUUGCAGAAUUCCGCGAAUCAUCGAGUUUUUGAACGCAAGUUGCGCCCGAGGCUCGUACCGAGGGCAUGCCUGUCUGAGCGUCAAUGGGGUCCCGCCCAUCCCGCCCCCGUCGCCACAGCGUGGCGACGGGGACGUGCGCGCGAUGGGCGUCGGGUUGGCCUAUGCGCGGACCAUCGAUCGACUCUCGCAGCCGAUCGACAGCGACCCGCUCGGCUGAAAUCUAUCCGCGUCCCGGGAACCGAAGGGGGCGUCGCGAGAAGGUGCUCCGCUCCGCGAAAGCGCGAGGGGAUGAUAUCGUAAAUCGCAGCGACGCCUCUUUUCGGGGAAGGAGAGGGACUCGGAAAACGAACGGGACUCGCGAUCGUCGAUCGCGAGCUUUUCACGUCUUGGACCUCAGAUCAGGCAAGAUCACCCGCUGAGUUUAAGCAUAUCACUAAGCGGAGGAAAAGAAACUAACGAGGAUUUCCUUAGUAACGGCGAGCGAACCGGAAGUAG
rnacentral:rRNA from 1 species